rnacentral:rRNA from 1 species
GGGGGGCGGGGGCGGCGGGGCUAGGGCGUGGGGGGCGGGCGAACGGGCGGGGAGCUUGCUCCUUGGCGGUAGCGGGGGGCGGGUGAGGAACACGUAGGGAACCGACCUAUAAGACUGGGGUCACUUCGGGAAACCGGAGCCAAUACCGGGUAAUGCUUCGAACCCCCUGGUUCGAUUGUGAAAGAUGGCUUUGCUUGCACCUAUCGACUCACCUGCGCCGUAUUGACUAGUUGGUAAAGUAACGGCUUACCAAGGCAACGAAUCGCAGCCGCACUGUGGCGGUGAUCGGCCAAACUGGAACUGAGACACGGUCCAGACUCCUACGGGAGGCAGCAGUAGGGAAUCUUCCGCAAUGGGCGAAAGCCUGACGGAGCAACGCCGCGUGAGUGAUGAGGGUCUUCGGAUCGUAAAACUCUGUUAUUAGGGAAGAACAAACGUGUAAGUAACUGUGCACGUCUUGACGGUACCUAAUCAGAAAGCUACGGCUAACUACGUG